rnacentral:rRNA from 1 species
GUGUCAGCAGCCGCGGUAAUACGUAGGGGGCAAGCGUUGUCCGGAUUUAUUGGGCGUAAAGAGCUCGUAGGCGGUUUGGUAAGUCGGAUGUGAAAUCUCCACGCUCAACGUGGAGGCGCCAUUCGAUACUGCCAUGACUUGAGUACGGUAGAGGAGUGUGGAAUUCCUGGUGUAGCGGUGAAAUGCGCAGAGAUCAGGAGGAACACCCGUAGCGAAGGCGGCACUCUGGGCCGAUACUGACGCUGAGGAGCGAAAGCGUGGGGAGCAAACAGGAUUAGAUACCCUGGUAGUCCACGCCGUAAACGUUGGGCACUAGGUGUGGGGCGCUAUCGACGCGUUCCGUGCCGUAGCUAACGCAUUAAGUGCCCCGCCUGGGGAGUACGGCCGCAAGGCUAAA